UUAACUAGAGCAUUUUAUUUUCAAGGGAAAUGAUUGUGGUCUGACUGUAUUAUUUUGAAAAUCACAGUUGAGAUUUUUUUAUGUGUGCACCGGUACAGUUUUGUGGGGAAGCGAAAGUUGCCAUGGAAUUUUGUCUUCUUCUAAAAACAAGUGUCUGAUACAUGUAGUUGCAGUCUGUCUUUGGAAGCUGUAGAAAUAACAAGAAAGGGACUGACAUAGUGUUUUGGUAGGGAAAAGUUUGAGUAUGUACAUGUACAGUUGUUUGACCUGUCUUACCCUGUGGCAGUCCAAGCAGAUGUUACCAUUAUGAAAAAUGCAGGAGAACUUGAAGACAAUGGUUAGUGCAGAAGGGACAUAAAAGUUAUGAUAAAAGUAACAGAUAUAAAUAAGAAGUGCUACAAGUGUGUUGUCAUGUGAAAUGGAAUUUACCCCAACUGUGCUGCAUGAUGUAUAUUCAAGUGCAAGACAGCCAUGCACCAGCUGUAAACUGAGAUGGACCCAUAUAAUAAAUAUGUUGACUUUCCUAUGUAUUAUCAUCUGUACAGAAUGUGUUCAUGACAAGACUGUAUACAUGUAUUGUUAAAUCAUUUUUUAUUUCCAUUAUUGCAUGCAUGUAAGAAGCAAGCAUUUAACAAUUGCAGUCAUAGAAGUGUUAAAAUGUGAUCAAUCUAAUUUAAAGAAACACAUUUAAUUGGACUUUUUAAGUUUCGUAGUAUUUUUGGUGGGGAUUGACCCAGUCACUCAGCAACUUAUACAGUCUGUGUGUCAUUUCUUGUAUGUUAUAGUUUUCUUAAUAAUACAUUAAAUGUCAAAGUUAUGGUAAGACGAACUCAUUCAUCACUAAAGUCUUGUAGAUUAAUGUUAAAGCAGUUCAACAUUUUACCAUAAGUUAACUAAUAUUCUAUUUAACCAGAGUUGUCAUAUAUUUUCAUAUAAAUAUUUGUAUAAUACAGUCUAAUCUAAUCUACAUAUGAUGUACCACAAUUUUUAGUUAUAUUUUAUGUUGAUAUUUUAUGUUGUUUUCAUGUCUCAACAUAUAAUUACUAACAUCAAAGAAUCUUAAGUAUUUUACAAUUUGGUUGGUAUAAAUGGUUGUUUUGUUUAUAUAUUUUUUUUCCAUCCAGGAGAAUAAAGAAAUAUACAUUUCAAAAUAUCUCAUCAUUCCAGAUAAGUACACUACAUAAUCAAAAUAAAAGAAAUAAGAACAACAUAUGUUGGUGGAAUUUUAUUUUCAAAAAUUUGAUAUACAGUCUUUGUAGUAUUUACUUCUUUAGAUAUGUUGGACUGAAAUGGGAAUAACAACAUACUUUAAUUUUUUGUAGUCAUAAGUUAAUAUGGGAAUUAUUAACUUAACUUAACUUAAAAAGAUUUUAUCUCACUGUUAUGCCAUCUGAGCUUUAAUAUUUUCAACAUUGUCAUUGGCAACAAGGCUCAAAAUUAUUUGUUGUGUAUACCUUGCAUUCAUGUGUGAUAAAUGCUUUUAUGGUAUUCUUUAAUAUAAUUUAUGCUUUUCAUCUUACCAUGGAUUAAAAAAAUAUAUAUUUAUUUGUCUGAAAAUUAAGGUAAAAAUACUGACUGAUUAAAUUGCAAUAUAAGAAAACUUAUUUGAGAUAAAGGGAGGUAAUUCCAUAAAAAUAUAUGUAGAAUGUAGAUGAUAAAUGUAAUGAAGGGAGGUAAUAAAAUAUUGUGAAGUUAUUAGUCUUCAUUUCUUUGAUGAGCUAAUUAAUUGUUUUACAUUUUGGUUUAUUAACUACAAGUAUGACCUAACAUGUGUACCUGUCCUGAAGGAAAAUAAAAAAGGUUGUUUGAUGUCCUUGUACUGUUAAGUUGUUCCUGUAUUUGUUUACAUUCCAUGUCUGAAUGAAAUGAAGAAACAGACUUUAAUGAGGGUAUCCCGGGAAAAUACCUAAGUUUAUUUUUAUAUCAGCAAAUUUGAUGAGAUAGUCAUUCAGGAGUUGUCUAUCCUAUUUC